CUUUUACAGACGGCUUAUGAUUAUAUAUGUAAAAGAUUUAUAAAAAGAAAAAUGGGGGUAAGUGGGCCAAAAAUUUGAGGCAUUCAAAUGGAUAAAACUAGAGGAUUCCGAAAAUCUGCCAGAAAUUCCAAAUCAUGAUAAGCGAAUAUCCUUAAGUCCGAUUAACUGUACUAGACCGCUAUCUUUGAAUAUACAGAAGAGAUGCAUAAUCUGUCUUGCUCUUUGUUUAAAAUUUCAAUGUAUGUGCAUGUGUAAGGCUUUUGAUUAAAAUAAAGACAAAUAAGUGAUUUAUUUCUUUACAGUUGUAUUUACUAAUAAAACGUUUGUUUGCAAUUUUAUAAAUUUUGUUUAUUGCUUAAACAUUCACG
rnacentral:lncRNA from 1 species